rnacentral:lncRNA from 1 species
UGAACCCAAGCCAGCCUUAGACUGAACUUUCAAAGUACAAUUAAACAACGCCGUGAGGAAAUGGAACAUUCGACAAGGUGUGAUGACCGUGUCGUGUCAUGCAGAAAAAUGUCCUUAUUUCUAGGAAUUGCAUGCUGAGAUCUCGCUCUGGGACAAACCAGCUUCUAUGUCAUGAGUACACUCAGGCAGCUCAUUGGAGAGAUCUGCAUGGUAAAGCAACGAGGCCUCCUGCCAGCAGCCAUGUGAGUGGCAUCUUGGAGCCAGACCCUCCAGCCCCAGUCAAGCCUUCGGAUGCCUGCAGCCCUGGCUGACAUUUUAACCACAACUUCAUGCGAGAUUCUGAGCCAGAAUCACCCAGCUAAGCUGCUCCCGGGUUGCCAGCUUCCAGAAUCACGGUAGGAUGACCUCUCUCCCCUGCUUGGAAGUUACGUAUAUCCAGCAACUUUGAAAUUGAGUAAGACUGGGAUGUGUCAUCCCCAAGAGGGCACUUCAAGAGCCAGUGUGCCAUCACAACCUCUUUCUCUCCCUCUAUCAAACCAGUUGCCAGUGUUAUAAAUAAUGAGACCAUGCUCUAUCAGCUUGGGGCCAGGGGUUGGGGUGAUGUGGAGCAGAGCUGUUAGCUGACCCACCAUGGAUGUGUAGCAGCGGAAGAAGCAAGCCAUGUGCUAUUGAAGCACCCACAUUUUGGAUGUUACUGCAGCACAACCUGAACUAUACUGACUGAUGCAGAACCGUAGAGAAUUUGGGGAAAAUACUGUCUGGCCACCCAGAAAACAAAGACCAGUUAGGAUUUGUUUUAUUUUCUCUUCUUCCCAGAUCAAUCCACAGUUCUCCAGGGACCCAUUGUGGUUUUGUGCUUCCUCUGUGCCUGUUCUGCCCCUCUCCAUGCACCCCCACUUCCCCAGCCCCUCCCAGUCCCCUCAACGGUCCUUCUGGCCAGCCCCACAGCCCCCUCUCUGCCCCACAGUCCUCAGGCUCCAGCUUCCUCGUUAGGAAGUGUUAGAAAGUUGCUGGAGUGAGAAAUGAGCCUGUGAAACUCGUUGUCCUAAUUAAACUUCCACAAGGAGAGUGACAAGAGGCGACGGGGAGGAAACGGUGCCACCACCAAGGUCUCAGCCUGGGCCCAGGUCGAGGAAGGCCUUUGUCCUGCAGAACAAAAGCCACUGUUUGCACGUGUUAAACUUCAUCAAACUUCAACAGACCCAGGUGCAAAACCCCACAUCCCAAAUGCCAUCCGGGCUUAUGCCACCUUCCCGAGCAUGGACCGUCCCUAGCCGUCAACCCUAAUCAGGGCCAUGCCCCACAUCAAAGCUGCACUCCCUCCACAGACAGCUUCUGCUCUCAGAUGCAUUGUUCCUAUGACUUCCUACACUCGGCCCUUGUCUGACGAAUUAGGGCACGGAGCUCCCCAUGGCACAGCUGGGCCCUGCUGGCAUUGUUAAUGAGGUAGGAAGGGCGCGUUUGUCUGAGCCUGGGACUAACAUAAUCACAUAAAGUUGUUGCUUUGGAAUUGAUGGAGCUGCCCCAGAGUCAAUUUUCUUGGAAGCAACGCAAAGCACAGCUUCCUGGGAGAAGACACAAUGCCUCCUAUUGUCUCUGCCACUUCCCCUCCAGCCUCCCAGCAUUUCUGCGUCUCCUCGGGAGCCACUGCCCUGUGCAAGAGCUGUUUGCUGAUGCCCAGCCGUGGUUUCCAAAACUCCCGUGAGAAGUCGUUUCUGUCCACAGUCAUUGUUU